rnacentral:rRNA from 1 species
GACGUAUGGCGCGAGCGUUGUCCGGAUUUAUUGGGCGUAAAGAGCUCGUAGGCGGCUUGUCGCGUCGUCCGUGAAAACCCACAGCUCAACUGUGGGCUUGCGGUCGAUACGGGCAGGCUAGAGUUCGGUAGGGGAGACUGGAAUUCCUGGUGUAGCGGUGAAAUGCGCAGAUAUCAGGAGGAACACCGGUGGCGAAGGCGGCUCUCUGGGACGGUACUGACGCUGAGACGCGAAAGCGUGGGGAGCGAACAGG